rnacentral:rRNA from 1 species
GACGAACGCUGGCGGCGUGCUUAACACAUGCAAGUCGAACGGAAAGGCCCUGCUUGCAGGGUACUCGAGUGGCGAACGGGUGAGUAACACGUGGGUGAUCUGCCCUGCACUUCGGGAUAAGCCUGGGAAACUGGGUCUAAUACCGGAUAUGACCUUCCAUGUAGUGUGGGGGGUGGAAAGAUUUAUCGGUGUGGGAUGAGCCCGCGGCCUAUCAGCUUGUUGGUGGGGUAAUGGCCUACCAAGGCGUCGACGGGUAGCCGGCCUGAGAGGGUGGACGGCCACAUUGGGACUGAGAUACGGCCCAGACUCCUACGAGAGGCAGCAGUGGGGAAUAUUGCACAAUGGGCGGAAGCCUUAUGCAGCGACGCCGCGUGGGGGAUGACGGCCUUCGGGUUGUAAACCUCUUUCGACAGGGACGAAGCUUCGGUGACGGUACCUGUAUAAGAAGCACCGGCUAACUACGUG